AGUCAUAUGCUUGUCUCAAAGAUUAAGCCAUGCAUGUCUAAGUAUAAGCAACUAUACUGUGAAACUGCGAAUGGCUCGAUGGGCCAUUCAAUACAAACAGAGCCUGGCGCUUCUGUAACAUCACUAUUAUGGGGAAAUUCCAGUGGUUCUUAGAGCCUCGCGAAUCCUCAGCCACCUCUGUUUAGGGGUCGGUCCAACGACUAGAUAGUGAAGGUCCCUAAUUUUAGGGAUUAAGAUAUAGUCUCAACUGGUGGCGCGAGCCCCUAGAUCCAUUGCAUUAUAUCAGUUAUCGUUUAUUUGAUAGUACCUACCUACUUGGAUAACCGUGGUAAUUCUAGAGCUAAUACAUGCUAAAAGCCUCGACUUCGGAAGGGGUGUAUUUAUUAGAUAAAAAACCAAUGCCCUUCGGGGCUCCUUGGUGAUUCAUAAUAACUAAACGAAUCGCAUGGCCUUGUGCCGGCGAUGGUUCAUUCAAAUUUYUGCCCUAUCAACUUUCGAUGUUAGUGUAGUGGACUAACAUGGUUUCAACGGGUAGAACGUUGCUCGUUGGAUAUCCUGUCUGGCUCCUAGGAGCUAGGCAACACUGCUGGUUCAGAAGAUGCAAGAUUGCUAAUUCUGGGGCGAGUGUAAAAACCGCCUAAACGCAUGGCAAGCAGUGGGCUUUUAAAUAAGCUUUAGGUACAUGCUAACCCUAUUGUUGUAAUCAAUAGGGGUAAAUGAACGGGGAAUUAGGUUAGUAGAUGCUCUACGCAUAUCACUACCGAAUUAUUGCUAACGAUAUUUAUAGGGUUCGGUUCCGGAGAGGGAGCCUGAGAAACGGCUACGUAAGUUUAUUACUCCAUCCUUUUUAUCAAUACUUAAGCUAACCAAAAAAAAAGCACAUCCAAGGAAGGCAGCAGGCGCGCAAAUUACCCAAUUCCGACACGGAGAGGUAGUGACGAUAAAUACUGAUACAGGGCUCUUUUGGGUCUUGUAAUUGGAAUGAGUACAAUUAAUCCCUUAACGAGGAACAAUUGGAGGGCAAGUUUGGUGGACAUUCAGUCCCAGCAAGCAGCCUACCGGGCAGCUGUUGAGCGCCAGUUAUAUACCAGUGUUCUCACUGUAUUAGUAGGGAAACCUGCUAGGCAUCCGGUACGGGGAAGAGCUUUUAUGCUUUAUCUCGUGGCAGUAAUAAACCACUGUCUUAACGCACGGAUAGGAUGCCGGUAGCGUGCAAGCGCUAUUUUGAGGGACGUGCUAAACCUGCCCGCGAGGGCGAUUCGACAGCCUCGAAUCUUAGGAGAUAUUGGCCAGCAGCCGCGGUAAUUCCAGCUCCAAUAGCGUAUAUUAAAGUUGUUGCAGUUAAAAAGCUCGUAGUUGAACCUUGGGCCUGGCUGGCCGGUCCGCCUCACCGCGUGCACUGGUCCGGCCGGGCCUUUCCUUCUAGGGAAUUGCAUGCCCUUCAUUGGGUGUGUUAAGGAUCUAGGACUUUUACUUUGAAAAAAUUAGAGUGUUCAAAGCAGGCCUAUGCUCGAAUACAUUAGCAUGGAAUAAUAGAAUAGGACGUGUGGUUCUAUUUUGUUGGUUUCUAGGACCGCCGUAAUGAUUAAUAGGGACAGUUGGGGGCAUCAGGUAAGCUAUUAAUCCUUUCUCAUCUUAAUUAAAGUACAGUAUAACUAACAGAUUUUAUAGUAUUCAAUUGUCAGAGGUGAAAUUCUUGGAUUUAUUGAAGACUAACUACUGCGAAAGCAUUUGCCAAAGAUGUUUUCAUUAAUCAGUGAACGAAAGUUAGGGGAUCGAAGACGAUUAUUUGGUCGUCCAUAGUGAGAUCUAGUCUAUUCGUAGGCAACACCAUUCAACUGAGGGGCCGCUUACCUGGUGGUAAGCCAAUCCACAGCCAUGCUUGUUCUCUCGGGAACAGGCACAGUCCACAGACUGAAUAAUGGUGGGCUUUAGCACUCUCUGGAAGUGUUAGGGCUUCUAAUACAGCCGGUCAGGUGCUGCUAAAGCACCUGAGAUCACGCAGAUACCGUCGUAGUCUUAACCAUAAACUAUGCCGACUAGGGAUCGGGCGAUGUUAUUUUUUGACUCGCUCGGCACCUUACGAGAAAUCAAAGUUUUUUGGGUUCUGGGGGGAGUAUGGUCGCAAGGCUGAAACUUAAAGGAAUUGACGGAAG
rnacentral:rRNA from 1 species